CUCUAGUCCAGUUGUCAAGGUUGCAUUCAUUCUCUUCACCCUUAUUGUUUGUCUCUUUGCAAUUUUUCCCUGUUCUAUUAUUUUCCUUCCUGAUGAAAGUUUCAAAAUAUAUAAAGUUCACAUAUAAGACCCCUGUUAUUUUGGAGAGGCUUAAACAUGCAAUUGAGUUAUCUAGUAUAGUAGCAAAAGACGAGUAACAUCGGAAAGGACUAGAUAAGCAAUUUAUGGACCUGUAUGAAGAUGGAGGUUGUACCCGUAGAUGAUAAGUUGACAGAAGAUUGUUUGAGAUGGUUCAGUGGCAUUCCAUGUCAACCUUUGGAUGAAUCAGUAUUAGUAAUUAAAUCUAAGUAGUAGUAGUGGAGAAGAAGAGAGAGACAAAAUAUGACCUGGGGUGAGGUUGUAUAAAAAUGAUUAAUUAUACAGUUUAACAAUAGCUCCCAGAAAGUUUAGCUGUAAACAAAAUAGAAUGUAGAAAAAGUAUAUAUGUAGUUUGGGAUUUAACCUUUGUUUAGUUACACUAACUAAAGUUGUGUCUGUCAUUAUUCUGGGUGACCAGUAUUUCAUUAAAUAGCACAGGUGAAAGGUCUGCUUGUUUCACCUGGUUUUGCCUCUAAGUUUCAAUGUCUAUGGCCAUAAGCACUGUAUGUUAUGUUGUGUUUUUUUGUCUAGUUAUUUUUAUGUUUUCAUUUUGACAAUUGCAACUGUUUUUCCCCGGUCUUUUUUAUGCUGCCAUUUCCUGUGGUUCUAUAUUUGGCAUUCAUUCUGUAUUUUUUUUUUUUAAUUAUCUGGCAGGUUGAGAAAGCACAUAAUACUGAUCUUCAUUGUGUUGACUGGAAUGCUCAUGAUGUAAAUCUCAUUAUCACGGGAUCU
rnacentral:misc_RNA from 1 species